CCACCACUGCACUCCAGGCUGGGGGACAGAACAAGACUCCAUCUCAAAAUAAAAUGGUGAUUUGGAGUAUUGCUUCCCUGGGAAGAUGCCCGUGACACGUGUAUCUUUAGAGGAUAAAGCAAGUUCUAAGAGUUUGGAAGCAAUAACCCCAUUUUUGUUCAUUGAAAAUUUGCAUAGAAAAAUGACGAGAAAAGUUAGCAAUUGCAGUGCUGGCAGCGAUGACGCUGAGGAGGAAGCGGAGGGGCCCACGGAGAAGGACGGGGUUUGUGCCACCAGGUCUGUGCCACCACUGUCCUGCCUCGUCUGUGAUGCCGGGAAAGGGGGCAUCCUGGUUGCUGGGAGUCUGAAGACCUGGAGUGGGAGAGAGAAUGGCUGUGUCCGUGACUGGAGCUCAGGGCUCUGAGAGGUGGUGUCCGCGGUCUGUGGGGAGGCAGUGGCUGAUCCGUCAAGGGUGUGGCUUGUCCUUCCCACGCCCGUGGAGAAACGCCGAUCACCCUGCCUGUGCCUCCACUGGCUACUCUCCUGGCUUGCGGCCCGUUCACCUUGGUGGCCAAACCUCUCCGUCCUUGCCACCAGCUCGGACAUCUCCUCCUCCAGGAAGCCUCCUCAGAUGUCCCUGGCCAGGCAUGGGCCUUCCUCAGCCUUUCUCUGGAUCCCUAGUCUAGCACUGAGUGCCUCCUGCCUCCUCACUGCCUCUGACGGGUUGAUUUAACACAGCCACAGGGACUCAUUUCUGUAACCCCCGCCUUUCCCACGGGAGCCACUACAGGGUUGAGCUUUACAUCCUCUUGGCGGGCUCAUGGGCCCUCAUCCGCACCUUCCCUCUUAGCGGGUCCCUCUUAUGUGGUGUCUCAUUGACUCUUCGCUGUAGCUCUAAGGGGUGGGUACCACUUUUCAUUCCCAUUCCACAGAUGCAGAAACUGAUCUCCCGCGAAGCUGAGGAGCUCACCCUGGGUCAUAUGGCCAGCAAGUGGCACAGUCAAGAUCUGAACCCAGGUCCAGCUGUGUUCACACGGUGUCUUGGAUGGGGCUAACGCUCCACCACGCUGCCUUUUCAUAUAACGUUAAAAUCUGGCUUCUCUUUCAGUAGCUGCCCCAGAGCGGCUGGAGCACUGCAACUAAGGCAGAUGUGAGCUCUGGAAUCGCAGUCACCAGCACUGCUGUGGUACCUUCGCUCUUAGUGUCUGCUUCUGUCAACGCUGAGAGUGCCUGUCUCCCCCACUGGAUGAGAAGCUCAUCAGGGAAGCUUGCAUAGAGAAGGAGGCAGAGAUGUGGAAAUGCCCAUGGGCAGAAGACACACACAGGACGUUGAACCUAUGGACAUGGAGUGCUACAGAGGCCUCUGUCAAGGACCGAGUAACCAGAUAUUCAACUGUGUCUCCCUCGAGAUAGUGAAUGCUGGGGCGUGGGGAGGCACAGAGCCUGAGUCUAUGAGCCCCCAUUCUCUGAACCCCCGCCCCUCAGGAAACUCCUCCCGCAUGAGGCAGUGGGCAAGCAGAGCCUGCCUUCCAUGGGAGGAGCCCAAGUAGUCCACACCCACUUUCCCUGCCUCCCUUGCAGCUAGGGCAUGGUGUGUGACUGGGCUCUGCCAAUCAGGCACCUGCUCUGGAGUUUGAGUUGGAGGCUUGUCCUGUCCAGGACUCUUUCUGGAGGGGCCUGGGCCACAUGGGUUUCCUGGUGGCUGUGAAGAAGGAGGACUUCACCAGGCUCGCUCUGUGUGAGCCACAGUUGGAUUUUAUUGUUUGUCACUAGGAAUCUCGGAGGAUCCUCUUGGGGACAACCACUGGGAUCAACCUUGAAGGAGGAGCUGGUGUUAAUGGGAAGAACAGCAGGUGCACUCGGGGCAUGGGAAACAGCUGCCCAGGGUCAAGGUCAGACUUCAAGGACACGACAGGGAGAGCUGGGAAUGAACCUCUGGGUCAGAGCCAUUGGAGUGUGGAGUUGGGUGGGGGGAAGUACCAGCAGGGGGGCAGAUCCAAGGCAGCCAAUCCUGGAUGCCAGGUGGAGAGCAAGCUUGGAUGCCAACCUGUGGGCAGUGGGACCCAGUGACAUACUCUAAGUGGAGGCGGGAGGUGGGCAGAUUUGGGUUCCAGCAGCUCGGUCUGCUGCUAGGGGGAAAAGCUGGACCAGAUAGGGCAAGACUGGAAGAGCAGGAGACCACACAAGAGACUGCUGCGAUGGCCCCAGCUAGAAAGAAGACCGAGCAGCAGCGGUGAGCAAGGGCAGAGCUGGGGUUGGGUGUCACUAGCCCUGGGGAGCCACUGAAGCCUUGGGUGAUCAUGAGAAAGUGGGGUUGAGCCAGGCGUGGUGGCUCAUGCCUGUAACCGCAGUAUUUCAGGAGGCUGAGGUGGAGG